AGCAUAUCAAUAAGCGGAGGAAAAGAAACUAACAAGGAUUCCCCUAGUAACUGCGAGUGAAGAGGGAACAGCUCAAAUUUAAAAUCUGGCAGUCCUUGCGGCAGUCCGAGUUGUAAUUUAGAGAAGCGUCACCCGCGUUGGACCGUGCACAAGUCUCCUCGAACGGAGCAUCAUAGAGGGUGAGAAUCCCGUAUAUGGCACGGACUACCAAGGCUUUGUGGUGCGCUCUCGACGAGUCGAGUUGUUUGGGAAUGCAGCUCAAAAUGGGUGGUAAAUUCCAUCUAAAGCUAAAUAUAGGCGAGAGACCGAUAGCGAACAAGUACCGUGAGGGAAAGAUGAAAAGAACUUUGGAAAGAGAGUUAAACAGUACGUGAAAUUGUUGAAAGGGAAACGCUUGAAGUCAGUCGCGUCUUCCAAAGAUCAACCUGGCCUUUUCGCUUGGUGCACUCUUUGGAUGGACGGGUCAGCAUCAGUUUUGACCGGGGGAAAAAGUUGGUGGAAAUGUGGCACCUUCGGGUGUGUUAUAGUCCAUCUGCAUAUACCUCGGUUGGGAUUGAGGAACUCAGCACGCCGCAAGGCCGGACUUUUAGUCACGUACGUGCUUAGGAUGCUGGCAAAAUGUCUUCAAUCGACCCG
rnacentral:rRNA from 1 species